rnacentral:rRNA from 1 species
CCAAGCCGCAGCCUACAACGGUCAGUCGAGCGGUAGCACAAGAAAGCUUGCUCUCUGGGUGACGACCGGCGGACGGGUGAGUAAUGUCCGGGAAACUGCCUGAUGGAGGGGGAUAACUACUGGAAACGGUAGCUAAUACCGCAUGACGUCUUCGGACCAAAGUGGGGGACCUUCGGGCCUCACGCCAUCAGAUGUGCCCAGAUGGGAUUAGCUAGUAGGUGGGGUAAUGGCUCACCUAGGCGACGAUCUCUAGCUGGUCUGAGAGGAUGACCAGCCACACUGGAACUGAGACACGGUCCAGACUCCUACGGGAGGCAGCAGUGGGGAAUAUUGCACAAUGGGCGCAAGCCUGAUGCAGCCAUGCCGCGUGUAUGAAGAAGGCCUUCGGGUUGUAAAGUACUUUCAGCGAGGAGGAAGGCAUUAAGGUUAAUAACCUUGGUGAUUGACGUUACUCGCAGAAGAAGCACCGGCUAACUCCGUGCCAGCAGCCGCGGUAAUACGGAGGGUGCAAGCGUUAAUCGGAAUUACUGGGCGUAAAGCGCACGCAGGCGGUUUGUUAAGUCAGAUGUGAAAUCCCCGAGCUUAACUUGGGAACUGCAUUUGAAACUGGCAAGCUAGAGUCUUGUAGAGGGGGGUAGAAUUCCAGGUGUAGCGGUGAAAUGCGUAGAGAUCUGGAGGAAUACCGGUGGCGAAGGCGGCCCCCUGGACAAAGACUGACGCUCAGGUGCGAAAGCGUGGGGAGCAAACAGGAUUAGAUACCCUGGUAGUCCACGCUGUAAACGAUGUCGACUUGGAGGUUGUGCCCUUGAGGCGUGGCUUCCGGAGCUAACGCGUUAAGUCGACCGCCUGGGGAGUACGGCCCGCAAGGUUAAAACUCAAAUGAAUUGACGGGGGCCCGCACAAGCGGUGGAGCAUGUGGUUUAAUUCGAUGCAACGCGAAGAACCUUACCUACUCUUGACAUCCAGAGAAUUUGCUAGAGAUAGCUUAGUGCCUUCGGGAACUCUGAGACAGGUGCUGCAUGGCUGUCGUCAGCUCGUGAUGUGAAAUGUUGGGUUAAGUCCCCCAACGAGCGCAACCCCAACCCGUUGCACCAGCGAAGUGAUGUCGGAAACAAAAAA